rnacentral:misc_RNA from 1 species
GCCCAAUGACGUUGUCCAACUCCAAUAGUAAUUGCAACCAACUUGGGAUUCCAAUUUGGAGGCUUGGGUUUGAACCACUGGGAUGGGGAGACCUCCCCCUCCUCUCUCCCAAAUUGUAUAGCUCUGUUGGACUUAAAAACACAUAGUUUGUCAAGCUGUCAAAAGUUAAUGAUAGUCUUUUGUUAAUCUUAUGUUUAAUGUAUUACAGAAAUUUAUUUUAGUCUCUCCUUCCUUCCCUCCUGCAAA